rnacentral:lncRNA from 1 species
UCUUUAUUGAUUAUAUCUUGUUCAGGCAUAUUAGCUGCAUUUGUAUAGUUUGGUUACUAUCUAUCUAUUAUUCUUCUAAUAUGCCUGAUUUAGACCUAGUGGGAAAGUCGACGAGGUCAGCGACCGAACUCACUGGGAACUUUGUUGUAGUUCUCACUCCACUAUUUUUCACAGAGCCGGGACGGAGUGAGCCGGCCGACGAUCGCGGUAAAGGUAUCGCGCCAUUGACAGUGACGACCCGAGAUGGUUUUAUACAUGUUUAGUUCAUACCCUCUUUAUAUCAUCUUUUGUAUUUGAUGAUCGUAGAUGUAUAAAUGAUGUUUAAAUGUAAAGGCUUAUUUUGGAGAUUAUGUGAUGUAUAAAGAGAAGAAAUGAAUGAAAAGAAUGUGAAUGUAAGUGUUGAAUGCAUGUAUAUGAUUAAAAGUUAAUCAUAGUACUUGUAUGGAUGCUUAGUCUAGAAUCUUU